UGACAGGGAGACAGGUGGUGCAUGGUUGUCGUCAGCUCGUGUCGUGAGAUGUUGGGUUAAGUCCCGCAACGAGCGCAACCCCUACGUUUAGUUGCUAACGCGUGAAGGCGAGCACUCUAGACGAACUGCCGUUGACAAAACGGAGGAAGGUGGGAUGACGUCAAAUCAUCAUGCCCCUUAUGUUCUGGGCUACACACGUGCUACAAUGGCCGGUACAGACGGACGCAAAGCCGCGAGGUGGAGCAAAUCCUAAAAAGCCGGUCUCAGUUCGGAUUGCAGGCUGCAAUUCGCCUGCAUGAAGUCGGAAUCGCUAGUAAUCGCAGGUCAGCAUACUGCGGUGAAUACGUUCCCGGGCCUU
rnacentral:rRNA from 1 species